rnacentral:rRNA from 1 species
UACGUAGGGGGCAAGCGUUGUCCGGAAUCAUUGGGCGUAAAGCGCGUGUAGGCGGCUCGGUAAGUCUGCUGUGAAAGUCCAGGGCUCAACCCUGGGAUGCCGGUGGAUACUGUCGAGCUCGAGUCCGGAAGAGGCGAGUGGAAUUCCUGGUGUAGCGGUGAAAUGCGCAGAUAUCUGGAGGAACACCGGUGGCGAAGGCGGCAUCCUGGACCGGCAUUGACGCUGAGGCGCGAAAGCUAGGGGAGCAAACGGG